rnacentral:rRNA from 1 species
UACAGAGGUCCCGAGCGUUGUUCGGAUUCAUUGGGCGUAAAGGGUGCGUAGGUGGCAUGGCAAGUCGGGUGUGAAAUCCCGGAGCUCAACUCCGGAACUGCACUCGAUACUGCCGUGCUGGAGUACUGGAGAGGAGACUGGAAUUUACGGUGUAGCAGUGAAAUGCGUAGAUAUCGUAAGGAAGACCGGUGGCGAAAGCUAGUCUCUGGACAGUUACUGACGCUGAGGCACGAAGGCCAGGGGAGCAAACGGG